rnacentral:rRNA from 1 species
GAUGAACGCUGGCGGCGUGCUUAACACAUGCAAGUCGAACGGUGAAAGAGAGCUUGCUCUCUGGAUCAGUGGCGAACGGGUGAGUAACACGUGAGCAAUCUGCCCCUGACUCUGGGAUAAGCGCUGGAAACGGCGUCUAAUACCGGAUACGAGCUGCGAAGGCAUCUUCAGCAGCUGGAAAGAACUUCGGUCAGGGAUGAGCUCGCGGCCUAUCAGCUAGUUGGUGAGGUAACGGCUCACCAAGGCGUCGCCGGGUAGCCGGCCUGAGAGGGUGACCGGCCACACUGGGACUGAGGCACGGCCCAGACUCCUACGGGAGGCAGCAGUGGGGAAUAUUGCACAAUGGGCGAGAGCCUGAUGCAGCAACGCCGCGUGAGGGACGACGGCCUUCGGGUUGUAAACCUCUUUUAGCAGGGAAGAAGCGAAAGUGACGGUACCUGCAGAAAAAGCACCGGCUAACUACGUG